rnacentral:lncRNA from 1 species
GGAGCAAACGCUGGAAGAUUGUCUGUUUGAAGACGCGAGCACGAGUGGAUGUCUGGAUCAUUGAGCUCCAGGGAUGCAGGACAACCAGGAUACUUUCCCAAUUGUUUAUUUCUCCAUGAUUGUUUCUCCAUGUUGGCUGCUCCACAAACUCUUGUAUCUGACGGUACAACGGUAUCAGCUUGGACCCGUUCUUUGGUUUAAAGUGUUACUGAACUACGUUCAUGGUGUCCUCCACUAGCACUGCACAUUUUGCAUGUCUCAUUUCGAAGUCUUUGUAUUUAUGAGACGUGCAAAUUGUGUUGUGUUGGAGGGAUCCUGGAGUGUGGUUGAGCUGCACUGGCCCAAAGCUUUAAGCAAUCUGUGUUGAAUGCAUUGUCUGUAAUUUAUGAUGUUUGUGCAAAAUAAAAGUUUAAAUGUUA